UACGAAGGGGGCUAGCGUUGCUCGGAAUCACUGGGCGUAAAGGGUGCGUAGGCGGGUUUUUAAGUCAGGGGUGAAAUCCUGGAGCUCAACUCCAGAACUGCCUUUGAUACUGAAGAUCUUGAGUCCGGGAGGGGUGAGUGGAACUGCGAGUAUAGAGGUGAAAUUCGUAGAUAUUCGCAAGAACACCAGUGGCGAAGGCGGCUCACUGGCCCGGUACUGACGCUGAGGCACGAAAGCGUGGGGAGCAAACAGG
rnacentral:rRNA from 1 species